AACGCACAUUGCGCCCCCUGGUACUCCGGGGGGCAUGCCUGUCCGAGCGUCAUUGCUGCCCUCAAGCCCGGCUUGUGUGUUGGGCCGCCGUCCCCCCCCCUCCCGGGGGGACGGGCCCGAAAGGCAGCGGCGGCACCGCGUCCGGUCCUCGAGCGUAUGGGGCUUCGUCACCCGCUCUUGCAGGCCCGGCCGGUCGCCCGCCGACGACCCUCAUCCUCUCUCCAGGUUGACCUCGGAUCAGGUAGGGAUACCCGCUGAACUUAA
rnacentral:misc_RNA from 1 species